rnacentral:rRNA from 1 species
AUGAAGCGGAAGUUCAUUAUGAUGCCAGUGCUCAUCCAAGGCCCUAAGCAACCUGGCAACAACAUUGAUGUGUACCUAUGGCCAUUAGUUGAAGAACUCUUACAACUGUGGAAUGGAACAGGUGUACGUGCAUGGGAUGAGCACAUGGGGGAAGAAUUUGACCUAAAGGCGUUGCUGUUCGUGACCAUCAAUGGUUGUCCUGCUCUCAGUAACCUUCCAGGACAGACAAACAAGGGAUACCGCGCAUGCACGCACUGUUUGGACGAUACCUACAGUAUAUAUUUGGCUAAUUGUAAGAAGAAUGUGUACCUGGGACAUCGUCGAUUUCUU